AUUAGUAUCGGAUCUGAGAUCUUAGUUUAUUGCCCAAUUGCCCCUUAGGUGUGGCGGUUUUGGUAAGUAUUCCUCAUCCAUUGGCUAAGGUUGGCCGAAUAGCCAUAGUAAGGUAGGGAGACUUGUGUUGGAUACGAGUCACCUAUUAUUCUGGUUUUAAUAGUUAUGAUUUGUAACACCCCGUACCCGAGACCAUUGCCGGAGUCAGACACGAGGGGUUCGCAGAC
rnacentral:lncRNA from 1 species